CGUAAACGUACUCAACGGACUCAACCUGCUGUGAACAGGACCUACAUACACCCCAAAGGCUCUUUUCAGAGCCAUUUUACCAAGCAUCUUUGCAUCUUUGUACAUAGUGCCAGUUUUCCUUCAGUUGUGCCAGUUUUCCUGAGGUAAUUUAAGAUCUUUUUAAUCAACCAUUUUGUUCAAUUUCAUGUAAAGGUCCCGUUUUCCGGAUCCCAUAUUCCAAACUUUAGUUAGCAUGUAAUGUUGCUGUUAGAACAUAAAUAAUACCUGCAAAAUGAUAAAGGUAUAUUUUCUCUAAUACAAUUCGCCUUUCAAAGCCUUCAGUGACCUGCCGGUUUGUACUACAGCCCCCUACUUCCUGGUUGAAUGAUGUCAAUAUUAGAGGUGUUUUUUACUAACCUCCACCCACAGGAAUAUAUCAGUCGCCAACUAAGCUCAAAUGCAGUGUUGCCAGAUAGAGUUGAUGGUUUCUACCCCAAAAACUGUCCAAAACCCGCCCAAAGGCACAAAAAAUGCCCAAAACAUUUAAUCAACAUUUUGAUUCAAUUUGAUCAGCAUUUAGUUCUUUAACUACCACAGUUAAUGCACUAUACUAUAGCUAGCAAUUAAACACCAGCAGCUACAGAAUCACAAUAGUAAAAUGACAACAUAACUCGUUUACAUAUACAGCUAUGCCCCUCACCACAUGCAAAAUGCACAUUUACAGUGUAUAUUUAAAUUGUUUUGGGAUAAUACAAAUAUCUAAUUCGUUAUUAAUAAAUUCAACAAUGUCUGAUGUUAUCUAUUUAUAUUAU